rnacentral:rRNA from 1 species
UGGGGGAUAUUGCACAAUGGGCGAAAGCCUGAUGCAGCGACGCCGCGUGGGGGAUGAAGGCUUUCGGGUUGUAAACCUCUUUCGCUAUCGAACAAGGCCCGCUUAGGGUGGGUUGAGGGUAGGUGGAGAAGAAGCGCCGGCUAACUACGUGCCAGCAGCCGCGGUAAUACGUAGGGCGCGAGCGUUGUCCGGAAUUAUUGGGCGUAAAGGGCUUGUAGGCGGCUUGUUGCGCCUGCUGUGAAAACGCGGGGCUUAACUUCGCGCGUGCAGUGGGUACGGGCAGGCUUGAGUGUGGUAGGGGUGACUGGAAUUCCAGGUGUAGCGGUGGAAUGCGCAGAUAUCUGGAGGAGCAGCGAUGGCGAAGGCAGGUCACUGGGCCAUUACUGACGCUGAGGAGCGAAAGCAUGGGUAGCGAACAGG